AUCGGCAUUGCUGACGAGCGCUGAAAUUCGCUGCUCGCAACGCCGCAUCGUUGAAAUGCUUUUGACCACGGAUGUACUGGCACUGGUAGAUUGGCGAUGAUGAGGAAGGUCGGUGCGGUUUCGCCCCGGCCUUUUUUGUU
rnacentral:sRNA from 1 species